GCCAAGAGCUCUGAGGACUCCGCCCAGAUGCUGCAGGUAGGCGGAGUCUUAGUUCCACCUGGCUGCCCGCCCUCAUCUGCUGGUGAAACAUCUCCCCCUGCUUCUCUCCUCCAGGUGUGUCUGCAGCAUUUCCAGGUGCUGCUUGACCGCUUGACCCAGGUGAACGAUGAGAGGAGACACGUGAUUGCGCUGGAAUCUCCAGACCCUGCCGAGCGCGGCUUCAGCAUCUCCCUGCUCCGCCUGGUGCCCAGCGACCGACGGGCCGCGUUCCUCACCUUUACACACAAGCUGAGAGACGUGGGCCAGUAUCUGUUCUUCCGGGGGGUGGCGCUGCGCAAGCUGUGUCAAUGCUACAUGGGCCGCGCCCAGUCCGUGUGGCAGCAGGGUGUGGACAGCUUUGAGCAGAGCCAGCUGCAGGACCUGCUGUUGCGGAAAUCCACCUGGCCUGGUGGAGCCCCCGGUCUGCCCCCACCUGAACUGCAGCAGCUGUGGGUCCAGAGGCUCCGCCUCACGCUGGACCGCAGACAGCGGCACCUGCAGGACAUGGAGCAGGUGGUCCGGAGGCUGGCGGUGGCGGUGGACGCGUACGAGGGAGACCUGUCUGCGGAGCAGCUGCGGCGGGGACGAAUGGCAGAGCGCCUGAGGGACCUGAGCAGCGGGGACGUUCAGGACUCCAGCGCUUAUCAAGCGUUUCUCCUGACUGAGACAGAACGGGCCGCGUCUGCGGCGUCUACACAGCGAGCAACAUACCAGGUAAUUACUGUGUGUGUGUGUGUGUGUGUGUGUGUGUGUGUGUGUGUGUCUCAGACAUCAUUUCUGGUUGCGUCCUCUGGUUCAGUUGUGGCGUGA
ensembl:lncRNA